AGUUGGGCACUCUAGCAAGACUGCCGGUGACAAACCGGAGGAAGGUGGGGAUGACGUCAAAUCAUCAUGCCCCUUAUGACCUGGGCUACACACGUGCUACAAUGGGAAGUACAACGAGUUGCGAAGUUGCGAGGCUAAGCUAAUCUCUUAAAGCUUCUCUCAGUUCGGAUUGCAGGCUGCAACUCGCCUGCAUGAAGCCGGAAUCGCUAGUAAUCGCGGAUCAGCACGCCGCGGUGAAUACGUUCCCGGGCCUUG
rnacentral:rRNA from 1 species